GGCAGCGUGGCCGAGUGUGGUUUAGCUCUACCACUGGGAGAAAAGAGAGUGCUUGAUGGGUAGGCUCGUGUAUCUAAUCUGGAGGAACUGGGUUUGAUUCCCAGCUCUGCCG
rnacentral:tRNA from 1 species